UAAUGCUUGGGAACUUGCCUUUAGGAGGGGGAUAACAGUUGGAAACGACUGCUAAUACCGCAUAAUGUCUACGGACCAAAGGGGGCUUCGGCUCUCACCUAAAGAGAGGCCCAAGUGAGAUUAGCUAGUUGGUAAGGUAAAAGCUUACCAAGGCGACGAUCUCUAGCUGUUCUGAGAGGAAGAUCAGCCACACUGGGACUGAGACACGGCCCAGACUCCUACGGGAGGCAGCAGUGGGGAAUAUUGCACAAUGGGGGAAACCCUGAUGCAGCCAUGCCGCGUGUGUGAAGAAGGCCUUCGGGUUGUAAAGCACUUUCAGUUGUGAGGAAAGGUUGGUAGUUAAUACCUGCCAGCUGUGACGUUAACAACAGAAGAAGCACCGGCUAACUCCGUGCCAGCAGCCGCGGUAAUACGGAGGGUGCGAGCGUUAAUCGGAAUUACUGGGCGUAAAGCGCACGCAGGCGGUUUGUUAAGCUAGAUGUGAAAGCCCCGGGCUCAACCUGGGAUGGUCAUUUAGAACUGGCAGACUAGAGUCUUGGAGAGGGGAGUGGAAUUCCAGGUGUAGCGGUGAAAUGCGUAGAUAUCUGGAGGAACAUCAGUGGCGAAGGCGGCUCCCUGGCCAAAGACUGACGCUCAUGUGCGAAAGUGUGGGUAGCGAACAGGAUUAGAUACCCUGGUAGUCCACACCGUAAACGCUGUCUACUAGCUGUUUGUGAAUUUAAUUCGUGAGUAGCGAAGCUAACGCGAUAAGUAGACCGCCUGGGGAGUACGG
rnacentral:rRNA from 1 species